rnacentral:rRNA from 1 species
AACGAACGCUGGCGGCAGGCUUAACACAUGCAAGUCGAACGGUUAUAGCAAUACAGCAGUGGCGCACGGGUGAGUAACGCGUGGAUAUCUGCCUUUUGGUUCGGAAUAACUCCGGGAAACUGGAGCUAAUACCGGAUGGUUCCUACGGGAUAAAGAUUUAUCGCCAAAAGAUGAGUCCGCGUACGAUUAGCUAGUUGGCGGGGUAAUGGCCCACCAAGGCGGCGAUCGUUAGCUGGUCUGAGAGGACGAUCAGCCACACUGGGACUGAGACACGGCCCAGACUCCUACGGGAGGCAGCAGUGGGGAAUAUUGGACAAUGGGGCAACCCUGAUCCAGCCAUGCCGCGUGAGUGAUGAAGGCCUUCGGGUUGUAAAGCUCUUUUGGCGGGGACGAUGAUGACGGUACCCGCAGAAUAAGCCCCGGCUAACUUCGUGCCAGCCGCCGCGGUAACAC